rnacentral:rRNA from 1 species
UCGAAUUUAGCCAUGCUAGUUGCACGAGUUUAGACUCGUAGCAGAUAGCUCAGUAACACGUGGCCAAACUACCCUAUGGAUCCGAAUAACCUCGGGAAACUGAGGCUAAUAUGGAAUAGCGUUCAUCGCCUGGAGUGGCACGAACGCGAAACGUUACGGCGCCAUAGGAUGUGGCUGCGGCCGAUUAGGUAGACGGUGGGGUAACGGCCCACCGUGCCCAUAAUCGGUACGGGUUGUGAGAGCAAGAGCCCGGAGACGGUAUCUGAGACAAGAUACCGGGCCCUACGGGGCGCAGCAGGCGCGAAACCUUUACACUGCACGCGAGUGCGAUAAGGGGACUCCGAGUGCGAGGGCAUAUAGUCCUCGCUUUUCACGACCGUAAGGUGGUCGUAGAAUAAGUGCUGGGCAAUACCGGUGCCAGCCGCCGCGGUAAUACCGGCAGCACGAGUGAUGACCGCUAUUAUUGGGCCUAAAG